rnacentral:rRNA from 1 species
AUGAAUUAUCGCAUGGUAAAGAAAUCCCUCCAGCUGAAAUGUCUUCAGACAUUUCUGUGUAGUUAUCUUAGUUCUAUUCGCAAUGCAGCCAAUCUCACCACGGAGCAAAUUAUCAGAGGGAAAUCGCCUUUGGAGGGUGCAUUGCAGCCUGUACCGAUCAAGGCAGUGCCGCCGGAUACACCAUGGCAGCCACCACCACCUGGCUGGCUUGCCUUGUCUGUGGAUGGAUCUUAUUCAGCGAAAGAGGGCUCGGCGGGAGCAGGCAUGAUCCUACGGGAUAACUUGGGCUCUGUCAUUUUUUCAUCAUGUCAACUAUUAUUCUACUGUAACAAUGUUCUCGAGGCAGAAAUUCAAGCUAUUAAGAUUGGGAUGUCUAUGGCUAUCGAAUGGUCUAACCUUCCGGUCUUAGUAGAAUCGGACUCGAUGGUGGCCCUUUCUUCUAUGACUGAUGCCUCACAUGAUAAAUCACCCAAUGGUCAAUUGGUCAGGGAGAUCAAGAACUACAUGCUGCAGAGGGAGUUUAAACCAGUGAAGAUUAUGAGAUCACAGAACAUGGUCUCACAUUGUCUUGCUAAUUAUGCCCGAACGGCUCGUAGCACCGCUUGUUGGUUGCAACGGCCACCUGCCUUCAUUCAUAAUCUUGUAUUAGCGGACUGUAAGCGUGUUACUUUGGAAUAA